GUUCAAUAUAGAGCAAAAUGUAUCCAAAUGCCAGAAAUAUCUGUGAAGUGGCCUGAUUUUGUAACUGCUUUUCCUAAGCUCGGGACUAGUGAGUGCCCUGCGUGGGAUAGGUUGAUUUUCUCUAAUCAUACCAAGAGACGAUGAGGACUGCUCUUGGAUGAACAAGAAAUGGAAAAUCAGCGCAGAGGAGACAGAGUUUGCAAAUAACAGGACAUAACCCUUCAAUAUUAUGCCCUUAAUCUUUGUCCUGAACUGCUGAUCUUCAGAGGGACCCAGGAGAAGAUGAGUCCACCGUUUCUACUGGGGAAAAAAAAACAAAACAACAACAACAAAAAAACACAUCAAACUGUGGGACACUGGAUGGGUGGAUGGGCUAGGCCUGAAAAGAGAUUGCCAAAUACAAGUCCCUUCCAGAUGAAAAGUGGAUCCUUUAGGAAAAGGAGGUAAGAGAUGUAUGGUUUACAUGUAGGUUUCUGGUUAUGACUGCUUUUAACUGAUGAGUUCCCAUGUUGGAAUUGGUGUAACUCUGGAGAGAAUAUUUCCAAAUGGUUCUCAAGGAAUGUCAUGUAGCAUUUAUUAGAGUCACUCCAACAGGGACGCUUCCCACUUGCUUUGAUUUAGUGACAUUACUGCUGGUUAAAAGCCUUAGGUAAGCCCACACACAGUGGCUGGCGAUUUGGAUAAUUAGCAGGAAUGGCAGAGGCCUGUCUCUUUACAAGGAAGUUAGCAGUGACAUGCAAUUAAAGCAAACCGUGGGGGGAUGCUGGGGAGUUCUAAGGAUUGUAGUGGGUCGGGAGAAAUCAAACCAUAUAUACAGAUUUCCCUUUCCUACAAAGGAUUUCUGCUUGCUUCUUUUAAAAAGUUCUUCCAGAGGUAACUAUGUUCUUUCACACAAACAGAAACAAAAAGAACAACGUAACUCACUCCAUUGUUAUUUUCCUCCUAAUUUUGUGGACCGCUAUGGCCAGUUGGUGAAGCUGUUUAUCCACUGGAAUCUUGAUGAGCUGCUCCCUCAGUCUGUGGGGAGACAUGGACAAGAGACCAUGACUGUGAAGAUGCCAAAAACAGGCAGGGUGGGAAAAGACUUGACAAAGAGCACAGAGAAGGGGAUAGGGAGGCAGAGAAGAGGGAGAGAAGGAAGAGGAGAGAAGCAUGGACACCACGGGCCACGAACAAUCCUCUUUAAACAUUUACGCUUCGUUGUCCUUUCUCCUUGUGGGCAGUGGUCUCAUCAGCUGUCCCUCUGCUGUAUACACCUUUUAUACCUAGGUGUGCUGGCCAAAAGAGGUGUGUAUUCUCUUGUGCACCAGGCUGCUUGCUCACCCCUACCCCUAGGAUACUUGCUGCUAUUACCUGUUAUCUCACUAAAUUACUCAAAAUUAGUCCUCUGUUGA
rnacentral:lncRNA from 1 species